UGUUGAAUAUAAUCAACGCCAAUUUUGCGUUGAAACAAACCUUGAUUUUCUCAAUUCCACAAAAGUCUUUUGUUGCUUUGAAAAAUCUGCUUUGACGUUGUAACAGUUGGCCUGUUUGGCAAAAUUAUUUAUUUAUUUGUUUCAAUGUUAAAUGUUAUUUAUUUACAUUUUGCAAUAAAAUCCGUGUAGUCAAACUCCGCUUGCACUCUUCGGUAAACAUCUCUGUAGUAUUCACCACGGUAACUCAACCUGUUUUGGACCGAUUGCGUUAAGACCCGGAGAGAGACUCUUGAGAGAGAUGAGCCGAUCUUGAACUACCUCAGUGAGAGAACACCACAGCUAGACCCGAGAAUACAGUUGCUAAAAAGGGAUGGGGAGUUCGCUACUUCUGUCGCACGCAGUUACCCAGAGAGCAUCUCAAGGAAUGACGUAAUUCCGGUCAAACCGCUUGAGCGUCCGUUGCGACCUUCCCUAUUCUGAGGACUCCAGGGCUCGUUCACUUUGUCCCCAGCUAUCAACGAGAGUGGAAGUGCGCGUUUUGUACCGCGAGUUUUUGGCUUUUUGUACAAAAUUUUCCCGUUAGUUAGUCGUGUGUGCGCUAGUGCUAAAUAUUGUCUAAUUUGUGUGCGAACAGGAGAAAAGCAUUCGCCCGUUAGCAACAGCGCUAACCAUCCCGCAGCAGCACCAGCCCAGCAGCAGCGCGAACACACGAGCAGCAGAAGCAGCAGAGAAAAACGGAGACGAAGUUCCCCGCGCACCGCACUUCUCGUUGGCGCCGUACGUCACCAGGCGAAGCACGAGGACAAAGAGCGUGAGCGCACGCUAGGCGGCGAUCCGUCAACACAUCGCCCCGGUGAAGAAGGGAGGGUCCCUGAACCACCACACGAGGACAGCGGAGAUCGUUAGUCCCGGCCGGAGUCAACCCUAAGGCCGGAGCUUCCUGUCCGGUUGCGAACGCUGACAGCCGCGGAACCGGGAAUCGUUUAAACCGGCCCGAGCCACCCCGUAAGGCCGAGUCCCGCAUUCCGAUCAGCUGUUCAUCAGCUGACGGCCACGUGUCGUCCCUGAGCUGAGCAACCAACCACCAGCAGCAGAGAACAACAGCAGCAACAAGAUCAUCAUUCGGUGAGUCCGUUCUUUUUGCACUUGUGGAAGAAGCACGUCCCUAGCUGACGUAGCACGUUUUUGCCGGCCUAGUGCCGAGGCGGCAGACGCGAGUCCGCCCUUGACGGACGCGCCCAAAGUUUGAGGAUCGAACUUUAAUCCCACGCGUUUCUACGCCACACGUGGAUGACCCCUGAAAUCUAAACGCGCGCGCGCGCAAUUUCGAAGCAGAAGCCGAUUUGGAUCAGCUGAUUGCUAGCAAGAAGAUGGAGAGAGCACAAGAGCACGGUUAGGGAAACAGACAGAAUUAAGAUCAAACGCACACACGCAAAGUAGGUAGAAGAAAGAUAUCUUGAAGAUGGCCACCAACACUAUUGUACAAAUAUAAGCAUGCUAAACCCAAAACGAACAAACGAGAACUCACCUUUCUUUCUGGAGUUAUGAAUAAAAACCGCUUUAGUUCUUUUUCGGAUAAAUAAAACGUUCGUUUAAUUGUUGUUUAAAACCUACUUGUGGAGUUUCUUUGGUUGAUUGAAUCUGGAGUUAUGUCACUUUUCGUCGUCUUUUUUCGUUCUGUUUUCUGAAUGACAGAGCUUGGCGUCGAAUGCACUGCCACGAUCGAAGCGCUGCCUGGUGGCAGGUGGCGGCACUGCCGAUGAUGAGCUUUUAGGCAUGGGAAGCAACACACUGGAGUAAGUUGUCUGGGAAAUUUCUUGUGGUUGGCGUGACGGAUUCUCGGUUUCGUUUAGUGGCAGUUCUCGGUGAUCUAGCUGGUUCGAUCCUGAAUCCUCCGAUGAGGAUCAGUUCAAAAUGGGCUCGUCUUUCAAAAGAGUCUCGACCGGGCAAACCAACAUGGCGUGCGAUCUCCCUUUGGGAGUGGCGCAUAAAUCUCACGCUCACCAGAUCGACUAGCAACGGUUGCAUUUUGGCGCCCAACGUAAAAUUCGUUGAAUUUCGUACUGAUUUGGAGUAAAACUAAUUAAUUUUUGGAGUAAAUAAUGUUCUUGUGGAGUUACUGUGUUAAUUUAUUUGCAUGGCAAGCGUGAGAGUUUUUUAGAGAAUUAAUGAUAGAAAGUUACACAUGCUGUGGUCUAACGAAAAAUGAGAUAACUAAACGAAAAAAAAAAAUGAUUUACUGAUGAUAAAUGUUAGGAAAAUUAAUUUGGAGUUCUGAUUAUGUGAAAAAUGAUGAUUUGUUUUGGGAAAUAUUAAUUUUGGA